rnacentral:rRNA from 1 species
AGAGUUUGAUCCUGGCUCAGAACGAACGCUGGCGGCGUGGCUAAGACAUGCAAGUCGAAGGCGUUACGUGUUUGAUUUAUCACUCACGUGAUGACUGGCGAACGGGUGAGUAAUGGCUGGGUAACGUACCCUGGGCUCCGGAAUAGCGCUCUGAAAAGUGUGAUAAUACCGGAUAACGUCAUUGGUCGAUAGACUGAUGACCAAAGAUUUAUCGGCCUGGGAGCGGCCUGGUUCCUAUCAGCUUGUUGGUGAGGUAAAAGCUCACCAAGGCUAUGACGGGUAGCGGGACUGAGAGGUCGAUCCGCCACAUCGGGACUGAGACACUGCCCGGACCCCCACGGGGGGCUGCAGUAACGAAUAUUGGGCAAUGGGCGAAAGCCUGACCCAGCGACGCCGCGUGCGGGAAGAAGUCUUUCGGGAUGUAAACCGCUGUCAAGGUUAAGAAAAUUCCGAUCCGUCGGAACUGAUCUGACCCUGAGGAAGUCACGGCUAACUUCGUGCCAGCAGCCGCGGUAAAACGAAGGUGGCAAGCGUUGUUCGGUAUCACUGGGCUUAAAGAGUGUGUAGGCGGGACGGAAAGUGUCACGUGAAAUCCCUCGGCUUAACCGAGGAAUGGCGUGGCAAACUAUCGUCCUUGAGGCAAGUAGGGGUGCGUGGAACUCUUGGUGGAGCGGUGGAAUGCGUAGAUAUCAAGAGGAACGCCAGCGGCGAAGGCGACGCACUGGGCUUGUACUGACGCUGAGACACGAAAGCGUGGGGAGCGAACGGGAUUAGAUACCCCGGUAGUCCACGCCGUAAACGAUGCCUACUAGGUGGUGGGAGUUCUGACACUGUCACUGCCGAAGCAAAAGUGAUUAGUAGGCCGCCUGGGGAGUACGGUCGCAAGGCUAAAACUCAAAGGAAUUGACGGGGGCUCACACAAGCGGUGGAGCAUGUGGAUUAAUUCGAAGCAACGCGUAGAACCUUACCUGGGUUUGACAUGCUUGGAUGCCAACCGGGAAACCGGGGAAGCUGCCUUCGGGUGAAACUUGCACAGGUGCUGCAUGGCUGUCGUCAGCUCGUGUCGUGAGAUGUCGGGUUAAGUCCCUCAACGAGCGAAACCCUUGCCGUUAGUUGCCAGCGGGUAAUGCCGGGGACUCUAGCGGGACUGCCGGUGACAAACCGGAGGAAGGUGGGGACGACGUCAAGUCAUCAUGGCCUUUAUGCCCAGGGCUUCACACGUGCUACAAUGGCAAUUACAAUGCGACGCAAUAUCGUGAGAUGGAGCAAAUCGCAAAAAAGUUGCCCCAGUUCGGAUUGAAGGCUGGCAAUUCGCCUUCAUGAAGUCGGAAUCGCUAGUAAUCGCGUAUCAGCAAUGACGCGGUGAAUAUGUUCCUGAGCCUUGUACACACCGCCCGUCAAGUGAUGGGAGUUGGGAGUACCUGAAGUCGGUUUGCUAACUUUCGAGAAGCGGCCGCCCACGGUAAACCUGAUGACUGGCACUAAGUCGUAACAAGGUA